rnacentral:sRNA from 1 species
AGCUCUUGCAUUGCCGGUCCUCUGGGCAAGGUAUGUGGAAAUGAAAUUAUUUAUAUUAUGAACCGGAUUAAUGAAAUCAAUUGGGAAAAACGAAAACACGAGGAAUGAUAGCGAUUGAGCAGUAAGACAUGGAUUAUAUGAUCUACAAAUGCCAAAUCUGAAAUGAGAAGCUAAAUUUGAAAAUAAAUUUGAUUAUGUUGCAUUAUCAUUUUAUGAAAAUAGUUACCUUUUUUUUCCUUAUAUCCAAAUUCCAGAUAUAUUUAGAAGGACAGAGAAUAAAGCAAAAUACAAAGUU